UGGGACACUCCAGCUACCGUGGAUCUCCUA
rnacentral:piRNA from 1 species